GUGGGGUAAAGGCCUACCAAGCCGACGAUCUGUAGCUGGUCUGAGAGGAUGACCAGCCACACUGGGACUGAGACACGGCCCAGACUCCUACGGGAGGCAGCAGUGGGGAAUUUUGGACAAUGGGCGCAAGCCUGAUCCAGCCAUGCCGCGUGCAGGAAGAAGGCCUUCGGGUUGUAAACUGCUUUUGUCAGGGAAGAAAUCUUCUGGGCUAAUACCCCGGGAGGAUGACGGUACCUGAAGAAUAAGCACCGGCUAACUGCGUGCCAGCAGCCGCGGUAAUACGUAGGGUGCAAGCGUUAAUCGGAAUUACUGGGCGUAAAGCGUGCGCAGGCGGUGAUGUAAGACAGAGGUGAAAUCCCCGGGCUCAACCUGGGAACUGCCUUUGUGACUGCAUCGCUGGAGUGCGGCAGAGGGGGAUGGAAUUCCACGUGUA
rnacentral:rRNA from 1 species